rnacentral:rRNA from 1 species
AUUGAACGCUGGCGGCAGGCCUAACACAUGCAAGUCGAGCGGAUGACGGGAGCUUGCUCCUUGAUUCAGCGGCGGACGGGUGAGUAAUGCCUAGGAAUCUGCCUGGUAGUGGGGGACAACGUUUCGAAAGGAACGCUAAUACCGCAUACGUCCUACGGGAGAAAGCAGGGGACCUUCGGGCCUUGCGCUAUCAGAUGAGCCUAGGUCGGAUUAGCUAGUUGGUGGGGUAGUGGCUCACCAAGGCGACGAUCCGUAACUGGUCUGAGAGGAUGAUCAGUCAAACUGGAACUGAGACACGGUCCAAACUCCUACGGGAGGCAGCAGUGGGGAAUAUUGGAGAAUGGGCGAAAGCCUGAUCCAGCCAUGCCGCGUGUGUGAAGAAGGUCUUCGGAUUGUAAAGCACUUUAAGUUGGGAGGAAGGGCAGUAAGUUAAUACCUUGCUGUUUUGACGUUACCGACAGAAUAAGCACCGGCUAACUCUGUGCCAGCCGCCGCCGUAA